rnacentral:lncRNA from 1 species
GCCGACAGAUGUCGCUGUUGUAACGUCACAGCCACUCCGUUUAUGAGCCAAUCAGAUCAUGACUAAGGACCCGUCGUCAUGAAGCAGCAGCCAAUGAAAGGGCAGGAGAGCGGGUCCAGGGGCGGGGCUGAGGUUGGGGUGGUAAAGCAGAAGGCUGAGAGAGAUGACCCUGCCUUCCCAUCUCCUCCCCCGUCUCCUCCCAGCCCUCUUCCUAUCUUCCUGUUUCCAUCUGAACUGGUGUUCUACUCUGAUCAGAGGAGUUCCCACAGGAGAGUCCUGACUCUCUACAACCCUUACACCACCAUCAGAUUCAAGAGUAAGAACCAUACCUACCUCUGACCUCCAACCCCUGACCUGUUGUGAACAUCUCUGUAUUCUAUGGUAGAGGCAGAGAGCAGCCUGAGAGCCAAGUCCUGCGUCGACCUUUAACCCCUGACCUCUAAGCUCUGACCUCUCUCUAUAGUGUUGUGUACAGCCCCAUCUCUGUAUUCAGUGGUGGAGGCAGAGGGUGUGGGAGAAUUAUAUACAUGAUUUGAUAACAAAAGAGAAAAUGUACAUUUAUGGGUUCAUUCCUGUUCUGGUAAAGUGCAUUUUCUAUUGAAUAGGGCAGAAAGCCGAGAAAGACCAUGGGAGUAUGGAACAGCCGGGAACACUAAAGGAAUGCAGACACAUAGACGCCUAGAAAUGACUGGACAUACAAAGAGUGGUGCGUCACCAAGAUGUGUCCCCCCGCCACUGGGGAAGGAGAGAUCGGUUCCGCCUGGAGGUGUCGGGGGGAGGGCAGGGGGCGAAACGGGAGGAGAGGCCACUGCCCAGAAUCGACCCACUAGCCCCCCGAGACUCCUCCCUCCCUCUCUCACUCACUCCUCUACCUUACUUCACAUUGCCCCAGAAAGUUCGGAGACUGUCCCAGUUUGCAGUGUCGGUGGUGAUGGGUGUGGUGUGUGUUGCUUUCUUAAUGCUCCCCCUCCACUCUGAGCCCAACAACUUGGUUCCUAGCUAUGCCCAUGUGACUGUCACACAGAAAUUGGUGUGCGCCUACACACUGGGUAAGACAUCUGUGCGUGUGUGUGUGCGCGCGUGUGCGUGUGUGUAACUCUUAUUUAUUUGUCUCUAAGGUCUGCUCACCAUGGUGUUUCUACGGUAACCAGAAGAGGAGAUGAUGUUUCCAUGGAGAUUCAGACCAAGAUCCCCCCCCCCUGUUCAUUCCCCAGACCAAUCUGAUGUGUUCUAGGGGCCAACAGUGCUGAUAUGUCCAACAGGGCUGAUAUGGUCUAGGGACCAACAGGGCUGAUAUGUCCAACAGGGCUGAUAUGGUCUAGGGACCAACAGGGCUGAUAUGUUCUAGGGACCACGGCUGAAUAGUUCUAGUGACCAUGGCUGAUAUUUGAGGGACAGCAGGCUGAAUAAAUGUC